GGAAACAGAUGCUAAUACCGGAUAAAAGACUACUUUCGCAUGAAAGAAGUUUAAAAGGACGGCGUAAAGCUGUCGCUAAAGGGAUGGACCCUGCGAUGCAUUAGCUAGUUGGUAAGGUAACGGCUUACCAAGGCGAUGAUGCAUAGCCGAGUUGAGAGACUGAUCGGCCACAUUGGGACUGAGACACGGCCCAAACUCCUACGGGAGGCAGCAGUAGGGAAAUCUUCCACAAUGGACGAAAGUCUGAUGGAGCAACGCCGCGUGAGUGAAGAAGGUUUUCGGUAUCGUAAAGCUCUGUUGUUGGUGAAGAAGGAUAGAGGUAGUAACUGGCCUUUAUUUGACGGUAAUCAACCAGAAAGUCACGGCUAACUACGUGCCAGCAGCCGCGGGUAAU
rnacentral:rRNA from 1 species